UACAGAGGUCUCAAGCGUUGUUCGGAUUCAUUGGGCGUAAAGGGUGCGUAGGCGGCGCGGUAAGUCGGGUGUGAAAUCUCGGAGCUUAACUCCGAAACUGCAUUCGAUACUGCCGUGCUUGAGGACUGGAGGGGAGACUGGAAUUUACGGUGUAGCGGUGAAAUGCGUAGAUAUCGUAAGGAAGACCAGUGGCGAAGGCGGGUCUCUGGACAGGUUCCUGACGCUGAGGAGCGAAAGCGUGGGGAGCGAACAGG
rnacentral:rRNA from 1 species